rnacentral:rRNA from 1 species
GAUGAACGCUGGCGGCGUGCCUAAUACAUGCAAGUCGAGCGAACAGACGAGGAGCUUGCUCCUCUGACGUUAGCGGCGGACGGGUGAGUAACACGUGGAUAACCUACCUAUAAGACUGGGAUAACUUCGGGAAACCGGAGCUAAUACCGGAUAAUAUAUUGAACCGCAUGGUUCAAUAGUGAAAGACGGUUUUGCUGUCACUUAUAGCUGGAUCCGAGCCGCAUUAGCUAGUUGGUAAGGUAACGGCUUACCAAGGCAACGCUGCGUAGCCGACCUGAGAGGCUGAUCGGCCACACUGGAACUUAGACACGGUCCAGACUCCUACGGUAGGCAGCAGUAGGGAAUCUUCCGCAAUGGGCGAAAGCCUGACGGAGCAACAUCGCGUGAGUGAUGAAGGUCUUCGGAUCGUAAAACUCUGUUAUUAGGGAAGAACAAAUGUGUAAGUAACUAUGCACGUCUUGACGGUACCUAAUCAGAAAGCCACGGCUAACUACGUG